rnacentral:tRNA from 1 species
GUUCCCAUAGUUUAAUGGACAGAACGAGACUCUCCUAAAGUCAAAAUGUAGGUUCGAUUCCUACUGGGAACAC